GUGCGUAUGUCAAGAUGCGAUUGACCACUCCAGUUUAAGAGCUGUGUACAGUCGUGUUUCAAUUUAGCAAAAUCUUGGCCAGGGUAGUCCUAGUGAGGAGUCAUAGGACUGUUUGAGUUAAGCAUGAUUCGGAUGAUCUGAUCAGGGUUGACAGUUUAACCCUGAGUCAUCCUAUACACAGGGUUCAAAAGGAAUGAAUUAUACAGUAAUCAUAUUCGCGUAGGUUCUGAAUAUUACGAUUGUGACUAUUCGACCUAUCUGGAUGUCGGGUACC
rnacentral:lncRNA from 1 species